ensembl:lncRNA
CUGCUAAUACCCCAGCCAAUUAGACUCUGGUUAACUAAUUUCUCCUGUGGGCAGACUUUAUUAAGAAGAAUAAGAGCAUGCUCUGACGCACUUCGAAAUGGUUCCUCUUCUCCUGUUGCUGCUGAAAGCACAGGGGGAUUUUUCUCUAGUACUUAAAGUGAGAAACUGCAUGAGCUCCUGGAAGUAAAACUCACUAACCUGUGGGAGCUCCCCCACCAUGACUGGGUUCCCCUGGAGUUUUUAAAUGUCAGAAUUGUCCACACUGAGCCUCCAGCAAUUCGUCAGUUCCAGUUUGGUGUUCCUAUUGCAGCUGGUUCUCUUGCCAGUUUCUGUGCAUGAGACAGCUCAGGGCUCUAUCAAGCCUACCUACUCUAUAUGACCAAGAUAAUCAGCAAAUACACUUCAGUUGUUUCUAAAUGUGUUAUUGGUGAACAGAGGAUGAAAAUGAAAGAAAUCAUUUUAAAAAUGUGACAAGAAGUCUGCUGUGAUUCAUCUACCUUUUCUUCAUAGGACUCACGUAUGGAUGUGAGAGUUGUACCAUAGAGACACCUGAGCGCUGAAGAAUUGCUGCUUUUGAACUGUAAUGGAGAAGACUCUUGAGAGUCCCUUGGACUGCAAGGAGAGCAACCCAGUCAAUCCUAAAGGAAAUCAACCCUGAAUAAUUGUUGGAAGGACUGAUCCUGAAGCUCCAAUACUUAGACCACCUGUUGCAAAGAACCAACUCAUUUGAAAAGACCCUGAUGCUGGAAAAGAUUGAAGCCAGGAAGAAGGGGAUGAUAGAGGAUGAGAUGGUUGGAUGGCAUCACAGACUCAAUGAUUAUGAGUUUGAGCAAGCUCCAGGAGUUGGUGAAGGACAGGGAAGCUUAGUGUGCUGUACUCAUAGGGUUGCAGAGAGUUGGACAUGAUUGAAUGACUGAACAACAACUAAAACAAUUAGAAGUAUCAUGGGUAGUUUGGAGGUCUUUAAUGUUUGCCCCUUCUCUGUCAUUUUUCUGUACACUUUCUUUUUAUAUAAGCAAUUCAUAUUUUCUUUUUGUUGUAUAAGUCUGCUCUACAACUGCACUGUUAACUCCCGGAGCCAUAUCCAGAAUAGCUUUUGCAAAAUUUUACAGGUACAUUUAAUUUAGAGCAGCCUUCAAGCACAGGGUUGAAAAAUUGUCCAAAAUUUAAAAUAUAUUUUGCAGGUUUAAUAAUUUUAAUGCAAAGUUUAUAUCCUCUGUAAUUGUUUUUAUUUCCUCCUGGGGCAAGUCAAAAACAUUUUUUAAAAAGUUUGACAAUGUCUGCAUAAAUUUAAGUGUUAAGAUAUUGAUCUAUUUUUAUUUAACACCAAUAUUUUCUUAUUGUCUCACUGUAUGUUUUAUUUUUGUUUUGUUGUUGUUCAAUCACUGUUGUGUCGGACUGAAACAUUUUAAAAAGUAUAUAAACAAAGUCUCAUUUUAUAUAAAUAUUGUCAUUUGUUUUGGUGGUUAGCAAUACAUCUAUGAGAACCUUAGGACCAUUUUGCCAUAAUAUUGAAUGAAAUUGUAAAUUUUGAAUGAAAUUGUAUGGUACAACACCUGAAACAUUUGUUGUAAUAUUGCACGAUGUUGUUUCUUAUGGCAAACAUGAUAUGAUAAGUUACAUUUUAAAAUAUAUAUUUGUUUUAUAAAAUUUCUCCAUUCCUGAUCUGCGAUUGGUUUACUGUCAGCAAUUUUUUUCAUUUUUCUAAAUAGUA